GCAGAAGAGGCAGAGGACAUAUGCGCGUUCCUGAUGAGAUAAGAGCUACACUUGUAGACCACGUUCUCAAUCAUGGGCUUACAAUGGCUGAGGCUGGUCGAAGGGUGCAGCCAAAUGUUGGGAGAACAACUGUGUCCUCAAUCAUUCAGACUUUUCGUUGACAGAACAGGUAUGUAAUCUAACAAAAGGCACUAUACCGUAAUACUUUCUGUAAUGCUUCAUACAAUAUUACUGUAUUCGACUUUCAUUUUACAAUAUACAGUAAGUAUACUAUGUACAGUGACAUUUUAUCUUACUCAAUUUUGUGUUUUGCAUUACUAUAUUUUUUCCCACAUAGGACUGCAAGACAACUUCACAGGGGUGGCAGAGGGCCCCUUUUCACACCUGAAAAGGAGGAGGCUAUUUGUACCAUGGUUGUACAAAACAAUGCCAUAAGACUAAGG